AUUGAACGCUGGCGGCAGGCCUAACACAUGCAAGUCGAGCGGAUGAAGGUAGUUUGCUACCUGAUUCAGCGGCGGACGGGUGAGUAAUGCAUAGGAAUCUGCCUGGUAGUGGGGGACAACGUUUCGAAAGGAACGCUAAUACCGCAUACGUCCUACGGGAGAAAGUGGGGGAUCUUCGGACCUCACGCUAUCAGAUGAGCCUAGGUACGAUUAGCUAGUUGGUGAGGUAAAGGCUCACCAAGGCGACGAUCGUUAACUGGUCUGAGAGGAUGAUCAGUCACACUGGAACUGAGACACGGUCCAGACUCCUACGGGAGGCAGCAGUGGGGAAUAUUGGACAAUGGGCGAAAGCCUGAUCCAGCCAUGCCGCGUGUGUGAAGAAGGUCUUCGGAUUGUAAAGCACUUUAAGUUGGGAGGAAGGGCAGUAAGUUAAUACCUUGCUGUUUUGACGUUACCGACAGAAUAAGCACCGGCUAACUUCGUGCCAGCAGCCGCAGUAA
rnacentral:rRNA from 1 species